rnacentral:rRNA from 1 species
GUAGGUGGCAAGCGUUGUCCGGAAUUAUUGGGCGUAAAGCGCGCGCAGGCGGUUCUUUAAGUCUGAUGUGAAAGCCCACGGCUCAACCGUGGAGGGUCAUUGGAAACUGGAGAACUUGAGUACAGAAGAGGAAAGCGGAAUUCCACGUGUAGCGGUGAAAUGCGUAGAGAUGUGGAGGAACACCAGUGGCGAAGGCGGCUUUCCGGUCUGUAACUGACGCUGAGGCGCGAAGGCGUGGGGAGCAAACAGGGAUUAGAUACCCUGGUAGUCCACGCCGUAAACGAUGAGUGCUAAGUGUUAGGGGGUUUCCCGCCCCUUAGUGCUGCAGCUAACGCAUUAAGCACUCCGCCUGGGGAGUACGGCCGCAAGGCUG